rnacentral:rRNA from 1 species
GACGAAGGGGGCUAGCGUUGUUCGGAAUUACUGGGCGUAAAGCGCGUGUAGGCGGCCCUGCAAGUCGGGUGUGAAAUCCCAUGGCUCAACCAUGGAAGUGCACUCGAAACUGCAGGGCUAGAGUCCUGGAGAGGAAGGUGGAAUGCUUGGUGUAGAGGUGAAAUUCGUAGAUAUCAAGCGGAACACCGGUGGCGAAGGCGGCCUUCUGGACAGUGACUGACGCUGAGACGCGAAAGCGUGGGGAGCAAACAGG